GUAGGGCGCGAGCGUUGUCCGGAAUUAUUGGGCGUAAAGGGCUUGUAGGCGGUUGGUCGCGUCUGCCGUGAAAUUCUCUGGCUUAACUGGGGGCGUGCGGUGGGUACGGGCUGACUUGAGUGCGGUAGGGGAGACUGGAACUCCUGGUGUAGCGGUGGAAUGCGCAGAUAUCAGGAAGAACACCGGUGGCGAAGGCGGGUCUCUGGGCCGUUACUGACGCUGAGGAGCGAAAGCGUGGGGAGCGAACAGGAUUAGAUACCCUGGUAGUCCACGCUGUAAACGUUGGGCACUAGGUGUGGGGGCCACCCGUGGUUUCUGCGCCGUAGCUAACGCUUUAAGUGCCCCGCCUGGGGAGUACGGCCGCAAGGCUAAA
rnacentral:rRNA from 1 species